rnacentral:misc_RNA from 1 species
AUUUAUUGUAUUUAUUAUUGUGUAUUUAAUUUUAUAAUUAUUUUUUCAGUGAUACACUAGCGUUGUUUGGAAGUUUAUAAAAAAGAUUUUUUUUUAAGAUGUCGGACUCAUCUGAUGGAAAUUUGGAGUUAAAACCUGUAAUAGUAACUUCAUCUUCACCAACCCCGGUAAAAUCAACCGCAGUGGUAAAAUACUCCACAGUAGCCCCAGCAACCUUCGCGCAGCUCCAAUGCAACACCAAUCUAAACCACCCCCCGUCAAACUGGCUAAGCAGUUCCGCGGAGAGCUACGGCCUCCAGAGUAUCCAGCCCCCAAACACCGGGUUCUCCAGUUUCCGAAUGGCCCAAAUGUUCCCUGACUGCGUCGGCGAUGUCGACGUGGUCUCCGACGCGGAGAACAUAAAGAAACUCCUAAAAAUGCCUUACAGCCACGGGGUAGUUUCAAUGAUGGUCCACCGAAUUGAGAACACUUUACUCCUGGACGACUUUGACAUCCAGAAGUACCUCUUACGUCAGGCUGAAAGCGACUGGAAGUGGUUGAAAGAAUUCAUCUACCAGCACGUGUUCCCCCCUGAAGACAAAGAGAAGCGUCUGUCCCACCGACCGAAUAGCAGGAACGCGAUCCAGCAGCGGAACCUGACCUCCAAGUUCCUCUACCACUCGCUAGUCCCUUCUGCAGAGCCAAAGCCGCUUCCGACUCCGCCCCUGCCCCUUCAGAAGUUAGAAACAGAACCUACUCCACCCCUUCCUGAACCAAGCGAAGAACCUGGUCCCGGUCCAAGAAGCCACUUCUCCAGAAACAUAGUCUGGACCUUUGAGAACAUCCAGAUGCUAAUUGGAACCAAUAUGCCGAUUUUCGGGGGCCAAACUCAUCCCUGUAUCUCCCUUAGGCUCAGAGACAUGAACAAGCCUAUCAACGUCCUGACUGGCAUCGACUACUGGCUGGACAAUCUGAUGUGCAACGUCCCUGAAGUGGUGAUGUGCUACCACCUGGACGGAAUUGUCCAGAAGUACGAGCUGAUAAAAACUGAAGAUCUUCCCAAUUUGGAUGACGCUAAGUUCAGUCCCAAGGUGAUCAGGGACGUGGCUCAGAAUAUUCUGAGCUUCCUGAAGAAUAACGCGACGAAAGCUGGACACACUUACUGGCUCUUUAAGGGAAAAGAUGACGACGUAGUCAAGCUUUAUGACCUGAGUUCCCUUUGCAGUGAUAUUCCUGAAGACAAGGGCCAGAAUCCUUUCACUGUUCCUGUUGCCAUGUUGCUCUACCGCGUUGCCAGGAACAUGAAGUACUCUAGUGAUUCAGGGUAUCAAGGAACGAUCAGGAUGCUCUUGAAGAAUUGCAUUGACCUUCUGGAUAUCGAGAAGUAUCCCCAGAUCGUUACAUCCGCGCAUUAUAUGCUUUCGGAUCUGUACGUUCCAGCAGAUACUGAUCCAGCGGCGCCUGUUUUGAUGGAGCAGGAAAAAGAGGAGCAGAAUACCAGUUCCGAAGCCGAAGGAGAGGAGGAUGAUGUAGGAGAGGGAGAGAUAUCUAUCCAAUCGUUGACGCUAACGCAUAUUAGGGAGGAGGAAGUAGGGUGCAAGUUCAGGCCGCCUCCGAUCAGUGGAACUGUCGCGGAACGCUGUUUGGACGGAUUGAGACAUGUUAUGGAGGGGUUAGAAUGCUUGAAAUACUUUCCGGAGGAGAAGGAAGAAAAGGAGGAGGAGGUUCUCAAGAUGGCCAAGUCUUUUGAAGCUAUUCCGAUGCCGUAUGAGAGUUUGAAGGAGGAGAAGAAGAAAAAAAAGAAGGAGAGAAAGAAGCAUAAGGAGAAGGAUGAGAGGAAUAGUAAAGCGGUUUGCAAGAAGAUGGAGAACUUACCGACCUGGCAGAAGAAGAGCGAUAUUCAAGAUUGGAAGAAUCAUUUGAAAAUUCUGUUGUAUGAGAAAGCGACGCUGAUUUUUGCGGUUUUGGGAGAGUAUGAGUAUACGAACCAGAGGUUCGGGAGGUCGCUGAGGUAUAGCUUGGCGGUGCUGAGGUGUCAUCGGAUUUUGGAGAUUUUUUGUGGGAUGAAGAAUGAUAAGUUGAUUAGUUAUUUGUUGGGGAGGGCUGGAGAUUGCUGUUUGAUGAUUGUUCAUGAUUGGCAGAAUAUUGAGGAACACAAGAGGGCGUAUGAAGAGGCAGAUGAUGUUGAGGUUAGAAUUGUCAGCGAGCUGUUUGAUAUGGAUAUGAAUGUAGAAGAGCUGCUUCCAGAAACCUUAACAACCCUGGAAGCGAUCUUAGUAGUCUCUUUAAAUUGCUACGAGCAAGCCUUAGCCCUAGGACCACUUGAACCCGACAAGAACAUCCUAAUCCGUCGUCUAGGAAACAUCCACAAUGAGCUAGGUGUCCUCUACAUGAACCAAGCUACCUCAAAAUACCAGCAAGUAGACCAGGAAGAUUCUACCCCUGUUGCUGAGGUAACUUCCUUGCUGAAUAAGUCCUGCCAGCACCUAGAGGCCGGGGUGAAGGCUUUUGAAACCAGCAAAGAUGACGUCAAUCUGGCUCUUCUUCACUCGAAUUCAGGCAGAUUGAUGAGGACCUGGGCCCAUAUUCCUGACAAGAGUCAGAGCCAGGAGAAGUACUUCUACAACAAAGCAAUCAUGAGUUAUCAAACCGCCCUACAGGUUCUUGGGAGCAAGAAAACCAAUCCUUUUAUCUGGGAGGACGUCACCUGGGAGCUGUCUAGCACCCUUUAUGCCAUGGCAACUUUGACUCAAGAUUUCAAUAAUAGCAAUCAUAAGACUGAAGAAGAAGUGACCAGAGAAGUAGUAGAACUUUUACAAAAAGCUCUCAAGUACUGCGACACUGUGACACCAGGCCCUCGGCAGCCGAUUUACCAGUUCCGGGCCGCGAACAUCCAGCACCGUCUCGGGUCACUCUACCACCGCGUUUACCGCGAAUUGGACCAAGAGGAAGUCAACAAACGCAAAACUUCACUACAAUUAAGCCGCCUGCACUAUGAAAAAGCGGCGAUAUUGUUCAUGGCGCUCGAGCAACCAGUUGAGUUCCUCACCGUUCAGAUGGAGCGCGUGGCGCUUGCGGAACAUCAGGCAUCUACCUCAACAUUUACAAAAAAAUUGAAAGCUUAUCAGUCAGGCUUGGAUUUAAUUUUGGAAGCCAUCCCAAUGUUGGAAAUCAUGAUCGAGAAGCACAAGGACGAUAAAAUCAAGUUCGAUGGAAAUAAAGAAAACUUAGAAGUUAUGAAUGGAGAAAAUAAAAAUAAAUAUUCUGAAGAAGACAAAGAGAAUCAGGAGGGAAAAGUGAAGAAAAUCAACAGAAUGAAAAAGAGGAAAAUUUGAUUGUUUUGAUGGAACAAAGGUUGCAAUAUUUGUUGAAGUCUUUGGCUAAAUUGUGUAUAGACAAAAACGCUAAUAAAAAAGAGUAUGACAAUUUGUCCAGCACCUACAAAUUCUGUUACGGAAAAACUCUGCGCCCAGUUAAUAAAUCAGGAGUCGAUUUGUUGGAGCAUCUUGUGAAGGUUUUCACUGAAAUAACUCCGAAAAUUCGGCAGCUCAACGACUAAAAAGUUUUUUUAACUUUUUCACAAUUAUUACUGCAGCUAGAGAGUGACUUAUAUAAAUCACAGAUAUAAAUGUAUAUACUGUAUUUAAGUAUUUAUUAAAUAAUAAAUGGGUUUUGUUUUUUAUAAA